GAGUGAUCGAAAGAUGAAAAGCACUUUGAAAAGAGAGUUAAACAGCACGUGAAAUUGUUGAAAGGGAAGCGUUUGCGACCAGACUCGCCCGCGGGGUUCAGCCGGCACUCGUGCCGGUGUACUUCCCCGUGGGCGGGCCAGCGUCGGUUUGGGCGGCCGGUCAAAGGCCCUCGGAAUGUAUCACCUCUCGGGGUGUCUUAUAGCCGAGGGUGCAAUGCGGCCUGCCCGGACCGAGGAACGCGCUCGGGCGGAGACGCUGGCGUAAUGGUCGUAAA
rnacentral:rRNA from 1 species